rnacentral:rRNA from 1 species
AUGAGAGUACUGUAUGAAUAAGGAUCGGCUAACUCCGUGCCAGCAGCCGCGGUAAUACGGAGGAUCCGAGCGUUAUCCGGAAUUAUUGGGUUUAAAGGGUGCGUAGGCGGCCAUUUAAGUCAGCGGUGAAAUUUUGCAGCUUAACUGUAACAGUGCCGUUGAUACUGUUUGGCUAGGAUUUGGUUGUAGUGUGCGGAAUGUGUGGUGUAGCGGUGAAAUGCUUAGAUAUCACACAGAACACCGAUUGCGAAGGCAGCACACUAAGUCAUUAUUGACGCUGAGGCACGAAAGUGUGGGGAUCAAACAGGAUUAGAUACCCUGGUAGUCCACACUGUAAACGAUGAUAACUCGCUGUCGGCGAUACACAGUCGGUGGCCAAGCGAAAGCAUUAAGUUAUCCACCUGGGGAGUACGACCGCAAGGUUGAAACUCAAAGGAAUUGACGGGGGCCCGCACAAGCGGAGGAACAUGUGGUUUAAUUCGAUGAUACGCGAGGAACCUUACCCGGGCUCGAACGGUGCAUGAAUAUACGAGAGAUUGUAUAGUCCUUCGGGACAUGUAUCGAGGUGCUGCAUGGUUGUCGUCAGCUCGUGCCGUGAGGUGUCGGCUUAAGUGCCAUAACGAGCGCAACCCUUGUCAUUAGUUGCCAUCAGGUCAAGCUGGGGACUUUAAUGGGACUGCCACCGUAAGGUGUGAGGAAGGGGGGGAUGACGUCAAAUCAGCACGGCCCUUAUGUCCGGGGCGACACACGUGUUACAAUGGGAGGUACAGAGGGCAGCUAUCCGGUGACGGAAUGCUAAUCUCCAAAACCUUUCUCAGUUCGGAUUGGAGUCUGCAACUCGACUCCAUGAAGGUGGAUUCGCUAGUAAUCGCGCAUCAGCCAUGGCGCGGUGAAUACGUUCCCGGGCCUUGCACAGACCCCCCGUCAAG